CACCGUAGCAAGAACCAACAGGGAUUGCCUCAGUAACGGCGAGUGAAGCGGCAAAAGCUCAAAUUUUAAAGCUGGCACCCCCGGUGUCCGCGUUGUAAUUUUGUGAGGCAUCUCCGGGUAGGGCGCCGGCCUAAGUUCCUUGGAACAGGACGUCAUAGAGGGUGAGAAUCCCGUGCUUGGCUGGCUGUCCCCGUCCAUGUGAGGUGUCUUCGACGAGUCGAGUUGUUUGGGAAUGCAGCUCAAAAUGGGUGGUAAAUUUCAUCUAAAGCUAAAUAUUGGUGGGAGACCGAUAGCGCACAAGUAGAGUGAUCGAAAGAUGAAAAGCACUUUGAAAAUAGAGUUAAAAAGUACGUGAAAUUGUUGAAAGGGAAGCGCUUGAGACCAGACUUCGGUGGGGAGUGAUCAGUCGUCCUUCUGGGCGGUGCACUUGCUCCCCUCCGGGCCAGCAUCGGUUGGGACGGCGGGAUAAAGGUCCCGGGAAUGUGGCUCCUUUCGGGGAGUGUUAUAGCCCGGGUGAAUGCCGCCAGCCCCGACCGAGGACCGCGCCUUCGGGCUAGGAUGCUUGGCAUAAUGGUCUUCAGCGACCCGUCUUGAAACACGGACCAAGGAGUCUAACAUCUAUGCGAGUGUUUGGGUGUCAAACCCUUACGCGAAAUGAAAGUGAACGGAGGUGGGAACCCGCAAGGGUGCACCAUCGACCGGUCCCGAAGUCUUCUGAAGGAUCUGAGUAGGAGCAUAGCUGUUGGGACCCGAAAGAUGGUGAACUAUGCCUGAAUAGGGUGAAGCCAGAGGAAACUCUGGUGGAGGCUCGCAGCGGUUCUGACGUGCAAAUCGAUCGUCAAAUUUGGGUAUAGGGGCGAAAGACUAAUCGAACCAUCCUAUUCCCU
rnacentral:rRNA from 1 species